rnacentral:lncRNA from 1 species
AAACUGGACGGAGCGGUUGUUCUGUGACGCUUCCCAGACUGACGAGUAGACAUGCUCGACUGGAAGGAUGUCAUCAAGUGUUGUAUCUCCAUCUAUCUUCAUUCUGGAGAGAUGAUCUGCAACGCCAUUCUCAAUGCCCUUUUUGUCCUUGAUUUCUAAAUCAAAUUCCUGUAGUAAUUAGAUCCAUUGGAGUAGCCUUGGUUUCGCCUCCUUCUUCGUCAGCAAAUACCUCAAAUCCUCAAUCCCGAAAUAUUUGGAAAUUUCCUUUUUUAUCUCUGUCGCUGGAGCAGACUCUUACGCUGCUCCGGUUGACUGUUCUGCGCGAAAGACUUCAAUUUCAUACUUUUUCUCAUCUUUCCUCUAGCUGGUCCAUUUCUCAUCCAAUGCAACUCUAGACCUAUUAUGACUCGAAAAGAACUAAAAACACUC